rnacentral:rRNA from 1 species
UACGUAGGAUGCAAGCGUUGUCCGGAAUUAUUGGGCGUAAAGGGAGUGUAGGCGGUUUGAUAAGUCUUCUGUGAAAUCUACGGGCUUAGCCUGUAACGUGCAGAGGAAACUGUCAGACUUGAGUGUCGGAGAGGAUAGGGGAAUACCCAGUGUAGAGGUGAAAUUCGUAGAGAUUGGGUGGAACACCAGUGGCGAAGGCGCCUGUCUGGCUGACAACUGACGCUGAGACUCGAAGGCAUGGGGAGCAAACAGG